UACGUAGGGGGCGAGCGUUGUCCGGAAUUACUGGGCGUAAAGAGCUCGUAGGUGGUUUGUCGCGUUGUUCGUGAAAACUCACAGCUUAACUGUGGGCGUGCGGGCGAUACGGGGCAGACUAGAGUACUGCAGGGGAGACUGGAAUUCCUGGUGUAGCGGUGAAAUGCGCAGAUAUCAGGAAGAACACCAGUGGCGAAGGCGGCUUACUGGUCCGGAA
rnacentral:rRNA from 1 species